AAUGAACGCUGGCGGCGCGCCUAAUACAUGCAAGUCGAGCGAGAAGACGUAGCAAUACGUUUGUAAAGCGGCGAACGGGUGAGGAAUACAUGGGUAACCUACCCUCGAGUGGGGAAUAACUAGCCGAAAGGUUAGCUAAUACCGCGUACGCUCCUUGGACUUCGGUUCAGGGAGGAAAGCGAUACCGUGGGUAUCGCGCUCUUGGUUGGGCUCAUGUCCUAUCAGCUUGUUGGUGAGGUAACGGCUCACCAAGGCUUCGACGGGUAGCUGGUCUGAGAGGACGAUCAGCCACACUGGCACUGCGACACGGGCCAGACUCCUACGGGAGGCAGCAGUAAGGAAUAUUGCGCAAUGGGCGAAAGCCUGACG
rnacentral:rRNA from 1 species